rnacentral:rRNA from 1 species
GACGAACGCUGGCGGCGUGCUUAACACAUGCAAGUCGAACGGAAAGGCCCUGCUUUUGUGGGGUGCUCGAGUGGCGAACGGGUGAGUAACACGUGAGUAACCUGUCCUUGACUUUGGGAUAACUUCAGGAAACUGGGGCUAAUACCGGAUAGGAGCUCCUGCUGCAUGGUGGGGGUUGGAAAGUUUCGGCGGUUGGGGCUGGACUCGCGGCUUAUCAGCUUGUUGGUGGGGUAGUGGCUUACCAAGGCUUUGACGGGUAGCCGGCCUGAGCGGGUGACCGGCCACAUUGGGACUGAGAGACGGCCCAGACUCCUACGGGAGGCAGCAGUGGGGAAUAUUGCACAAUGGGCGGAAGCCUGAUGCAGCAACGCCGCGUGCGGGAUGACGGCCUUCGGGUUGUAAACCGCUUUCGCCUGUGACGAAGCGUGAGUGACGGUAAUGGGUAAAGAAGCACCGGCUAACUACGUG